UUAUUAUGAAUAAUUUUAUUAGUUGAUAAAAAAUUUUUAAUUUUAUUUAUUUAAUAUUUUAUUAUUAUUAAAAGUAAUAUUUAAAAUUUUAAGAUUAAAUCUUUUACUAGGGUAAUAAAUAUAUUAUUUAUUUAUAGUAAAUAAAGAGUUAAAGUAAAUUAUUAUUUAAUGUGUAAAAAUUAUAUUAUGAAUAAAUUAUUUAUUGUUUAAAUGUAAAUGUUUAUUUGAAAUAUUAUUUAAAAUUUAAAUAUUAAUAAGUUAAAUUAGAUUUUUGUACCUUUUGUAUCAGGGUUUAUUAAAAAAAUUUUAAUAUAUUUAAAAUUCUCGAAUUAAUUAGAGUUAAUAUGUUAUUUAAUUUAAUGUUUAAUUAUUAUUUAUAAUAAUAUAUUAGAGGAGAUAUUCUAGUCGAUGAUUAAGAUAUCUAGUUUUUUUAGAAGUGAAUUUAAUUUAUUUAUUAAAUUUUGAUAUUGUUAUUUUUUAUAAAUUUUUGGUAAAAAAAAAUAAAAAAUUUUAUUUAUUUUUUAAUUAAUUAUAUUUAUAUGGUAAAAUAUAAAUAUAUUAAAUUAAUGUAUUUAUAUAUAUAUAUAUAAUUUUAUAUAAGAUUAAUUUGUUUAAUAAAAAAAAUUUAAGGGAUUAGCUUUAAAUUUAUUUCUAUAAAUUAUUAUUUUAAUUAAGUUAUGGAAGGGGAGUAAGGGUUAAAAUUAAUUAUUCUUGUUAAAAUAAAAUGAAGGAGGUAAUAAUGAUGGGUUAAAAAUUAUAUAAUUUUUUUAUUUUUAUUUUAUUAUAAAUAUAAUAUAUGUAAUUAUAUAUUAUGUUUAACUUAAGUGAUGGGUAAUGUUAUUAUAAAUUAUAGAUUUAAAAAUAGUUAUUAAUUAAAUUAUGUAAUAAUUUAUUUUAAUUUAUAUAUGAAUUUAUUUUAAUUAUUUUAGAUAUUUAUAAAAAUGAUAUUUAAUUAAUAAUUAAUUUUAAUUAAUAAUGAUAAAAUUAUUAUAAUUUAUAUAAGUUUGUAAAUUUUUAAAAUUUAAAAUGUAAUUUAAUUAAUGUUAGUUAAUUAUUUAUAUUAAGAUUUAAAUAUGAUUAUAAGGAACUAGACAAAUAAAAAUAUUUACCUGUUUAACAAAAACAUGUCUUUUUGAUUUAAUAAUUUAAAGUCUAAUCUGCCCAAUGAAUUUUAGUUUUAAAUGGCCGCGGUAUUUUGACCGUGCAAAGGUAGCAUAAUCAUUAGUUUUUUAAUUGGAAGCUUGUAUGAAAGAUUGGAUAAGAUAUUGAUUGUCUCAUUUUUAUUAAAGUUAAAAUUUAAUUUUUAGGUUAAAAAGCUUAAAUUUUAUUAUAGGACGAGAAGACCCUAUAGAUUUUUAUAAAAUUUAUAUUAUUAUUAUUAUAUAAAUUUAUUUAUAUAAUUAUUAUAUUUUUAUUUUGUUGGGGUGACAGUAAAAUUAAAUUAACUUUUAUGAUUAUUUUACAUUAAUGUAUGAAUUUUAUUUAUUUAAUUAAUAUAAAGUUAUUAAUUAGUUUUAGUAAUUAUUAAAUAAUUUUAAUUUUUAUAAAUAUUUUUGAUCCUAAAUUUUAGAUUAUUAAAUUAAAAUACCUUAGGGAUAACAGCGUUAUUUAUUUGGAGAGAUCAUAUUAAUAAAUAAGUUUGCGACCUCGAUGUUGAAUUAAGAUAAUUCUUGGGUGUAGAUACUUAAGUAAAUAGGUCUGUUCGACCUUUAAAUUCUUACAUGAUUUGAGUUCAGAUCGGCGUGAGCCAGAUCGGAUUCUAUCCUUAAUUAAUUAGUUAAAUAUUUUUGUACGAAAGGACUUUAUAUUUUAAAUAUACUUUUAUAUAUGAAUUGAAUUAAAUUAAUGGGAGGUAAA
rnacentral:rRNA from 1 species